UUUUUCCUACGGGGGGCAGCAGUGAGGAAUAUUGGUCAAUGGACGAGAGUCUGAACCAGCCAAGUAGCGUGAAGGAUGACUGCCCUAUGGGUUGUAAACUUCUUUUAUAUGGGAAUAAAAUGUUCCACGUGUGGGAUUUUGUAUGUACCAUAUGAAUAAGGAUCGGCUAACUCCGUGCCAGCAGCCGCGGUAAUACGGAGGAUGCGAGCGUUAUCCGGAUUUAUUGGGUUUAAAGGGUGCGUAGGCGGUCCGUUAAGUCAGCGGUAAAAUUGCGGGGCUCAACCCCGUCGAGCCGUUGAAACUGG
rnacentral:rRNA from 1 species